rnacentral:rRNA from 1 species
AGUGAACGCUGGCGGUAGGCCUAACACAUGCAAGUCGAACGGCAGCACAGUAAGAGCUUGCUCUUACGGGUGGCGAGUGGCGGACGGGUGAGGAAUACAUCGGAAUUUACUUUUUCGUGGGGGAUAACGUAGGGAAACUUACGCUAAUACCGCAUACGACCUACGGGUGAAAGCAGGGGAUCUUCGGACCUUGCGCGAUUGAAUGAGCCGAUGUCGGAUUAGCUAGUUGGCGGGGUAAAGGCCCACCAAGGCGACGAUCCGUAGCUGGUCUGAGAGGAUGAUCAGCCACACUGGAACUGAGACACGGUCCAGACUCCUACGGGAGGCAGCAGUGGGGAAUAUUGGACAAUGGGCGCAAGCCUGAUCCAGCCAUACCGCGCGGGUGAAGAAGGCCUUCGGGUUGUAAAGCCCUUUUGUUGGGAAAGAAAAGCAGCAGGUUAAUACCCCGCUGUUCUGACGGUACCCAAAGAAUAAGCACCGGCUAACUUCGUG